rnacentral:rRNA from 1 species
CCUACGGGGGGCUGCAGUGGGGAAUAUUGGACAAUGGGGCAACCCUGAUCCAGCCAUGCCGCGUGUGUGAAGAAGGCCCUCGGGUUGUAAAGCACUUUCAGUGAGGAAGAACGCCUGGUGGUUAAUACCCAUCAGGAAAGACAUCACUCACAGAAGAAGCACCGGCUAACUCCGUGCCAGCAGCCGCGGUAAUACGGAGGGUGCGAGCGUUAAUCGGAAUUACUGGGCGUAAAGCGCGCGUAGGUGGCUUGAUAAGCCGGUUGUGAAAGCCCCGGGCUCAACCUGGGAACGGCAUCCGGAACUGUCAAGCUAGAGUGCAGGAGAGGAAGGUAGAAUUCCCGGUGUAGCGGUGAAAUGCGUAGAGAUCGGGAGGAAUACCAGUGGCGAAGGCGGCCUUCUGGACUGACACUGACACUGAGGUGCGAAAGCGUGGGUAGCAAACAGGAUUAGAUACCCUAGUAGUC